GGCGGACGGGUGAGUAAUGUCUGGGAAACUGCCCGAUGGAGGGGGAUAACUACUGGAAACGGUAGCAAUACCGCAUAACGUCGCAAGACCAAAGAGGGGGACCUUCGGGCCUCUUGCCAUCGGAUGUGCCCAGAUGGGAUUAGCUAGUAGGUGGGGUAACGGCUCACCUAGGCGACGAUCCCUAGCUGGUCUGAGAGGAUGACCAGCCACACUGGAACUGAGACACGGUCCAG
rnacentral:rRNA from 1 species